UCCGGAAGGGGAUGCUGUUCGGGCCUCUGGCACCGUGCUCUAAUGUUUACGGUGACCGUGACCGGCAACCUGGCGUCGGUAGCGAUUUGGUUCAACCACACAACUUUUAUCCAGAAUCUGAGCCAGAGGGAGAGGCUGCUGAAGAAGUUCAAACUCUACAACUGCAGCAGGACGUUUCUGAAUGGUGCUCCUGUGGAAACUGUGCAACCAUGCCCACAGAAGCUGAGAACAUCUGCUGCUAGGAGAUACCACAGGUUACCAGACGGCUAUGGGAGAUCGUGGAAGAUUUACCAUGUAUGGUAGACCGUCCUGGGUUGGAGCCGCUCUGCCUCAAUGUGUUCUGCCUGCAACAUGUACCGCACUGACUAUGGUCCUUUACGGUUGAGAGGAAUACACCAGUACGUUUUGCUUCUUUGUUAAAACAUAGUUUCAAUCUAAAUAAAAGAUGUUAGACAGUC